UCUUUUUUUAUUUUUAAAGUCAAAUUUUUAUAAAAUCAUUGAUUACAUUUUUAUUACAUACUUAAUUUUUUUAAAAAUCUGAUACUUCUUAAUUUUUUUUAUUCUAAUGAUUUUAUAUUUAUUUCUAGAUUUUUGAAAUCUUUUUAAAAUUAUAUUUAGUUGAUUUAGAAUUCUUAAACUAAUGAAAAAAAGUAUUAACUAUUAUAACUUUUAAUAAGAAAAGAUUUUUUUAUAAAUAUAUUUAAUUAAUUUUAAUUCUUAAAUUAAAAAAAAUAAGUGAAAUUCGAAUGACUAGAAAAUAUUUUACCAUAAAUUCGAUGACCUUUCACCCACAACAGCUUAGACAAUCACGAGGUUUUUCCGGGAUCCAAAGUUUAUCUUGCUCCUAAAAUUGGCUGAGUUAUACUAUUAAUUCUAGAGCGUUCAGAGUCGUGCGCUCUGCAGAAGUGACUUGGGAUCUCAAGAACUACAAGCGGAAGUCAAAUGAACUUUAUUUAGAUCUCAAGAACCAGAAGCGGAAGUCAAAUGAACUUUAUUCUGUGGAAAAGUGGCUGAAGUCCUGUACUAGUGUUUCUGUAUGUCUGUAGUCGUAACAUGAUUAGAGGACUCAAAAAGAAAUCAUUAGGCUCAUUAAAACUUACCUCUCUUACUUGAGGAAAUGUGACAGUGUAUUUGUGUUAAGUUGAUCUAAUUUCAGUUGUGACAGUGUAUUUGUGUUAAGUUGAUCUAAUUUUAGUGAAGUCCUUUUAAGGAAGAUGGGAAUUGCAUCUACAAUGAUGCAACCACCGCCGACCAACUACAAUCGCCGGAGCAGUUGUAGCCGUUGGCCGUAUCCCACUACUUUGACUCCGAUGCCGGCGUCGGCGUAGAUGCGCCGCCGACAGGUAAGUGUACGCCUAUCUCUUUCUCUCCCCCCUUUCUCUUUCUUCCACUUUUCGCUCUUUGCUCUGUUAUCGCCGGCGGGACAGGCUUUUCGUCGGCUCGACCCUAGCGACGGCAGCCUGUGUCCAGAUUAAUAGGUGGUGCUCGACCAGAUCUGAUUUCGGCAACACCCAGGCGAUGCUCCGGCGAUAUUUAGGCGACACUCCGACGAUAUUAUUCUAGCGACCAAUUACAGGGACGCGGCUCAACAGUAGGGUAAAGGCAGCGGCAACAAAUUUUGGCGACCAAUUUCUGCACCAAUUUGCCGGAAUUCAACAAAACAAUCAAGAAAACAUUCAUCACUGUGUCUUCUCCAAGUCAGUUGCAAAGAAGCAAAAGUCAUUUGGGAAGCUUUAAUCAAGAAGUUUACAGCUGAAGAUGUAACCAAACAAAAGUUUGUGGUUGAAAAAUUUUUACAAUUGACAAAUGAGUUAUGUGAAAGAAAUAAAAAUUCAAAUAAAUGAAUAUAAAAAACUGUUAGAAGAUUUGAAGGCUGAGGACAUCGCUUUACCAGGAAAAUAUGUUGCUGGAGUAUUAAUUGAAAAAUUGCCUGAAUCAUGGAAUGACUAUAAAAAUAACUUAAAACAUAAGUAGACAAAUUUUACUAUUGAGGAAGUAAUAACUCAUAUUCUAAUUGAAGAUACCAACAGAAAGGAGUCAUUCAGAGCUAAGUAGGCUGCGCUCAACACACAUUUAGUACAAGGUCAACACAGCCAUAACAGAAGGUAUGGUAAUAAGUCUCAAAGUUACAAACCUAAUAAUCCCAAUUUUAAGAAAAGAAAAGACACUUGUUUUACUUGUGGAAAACCAGGUCAUUAUACCGCUCAAUAUAGACACAGAAUAAGAAACAACAAAGAAAUGAGAAAUCCUCCCAAAGCUAAUCUAGCUUAAGGAGAUGAAAUAAUUGCAAUUGUUAUUUCUUCAGUGAAUAUGGUGGCACAUGUAAAAGAAUAGACGGUAGACUCUGGGGCUACUCGACAUAUUUGUACAAAUCGAGAAGCAUUUUCCUCCUAUACAUCAAUAGGAGAUGACAGUGAAGUAGUCUACCUUGGAGACUCAAGAACUGCUAAAGUCUAGGCAAGGGUAAAGGACUCCUAAAACACACUUCGCGAAAAACUUUAGCCCUAAUGGAUGUGCUACAUGUUCCUACAAUGCAAGCAAACCUGAUUUCUGUGGCUUUACUGGAUAAAGCUGGAAUAAAAGUAUGUUGAAUCUAAUAAGAUUAUUUUGACAAAAAAUAAUGUAUUUGUAGGAAAAGGCUAUUGUAACCAUGGACUUUAUGUACUUAAUAUUAUCAAUAAUAAUGCAUCAGCUUCUGCUUA